ACUAGUAAUCGCAGAUCAGAAUGCUGCGGUGAAUGCGUUCCCGGGUCUUGUACACACCGCCCGUCACACCACGGAAGUUGGGGGCGCCCGAAGCCACUUAGCUAACCCAUUUGGGAAGCGAGUGUCGAAGGUGAAAUCAAUAACUGGGGUGAAGUCGUAACAAGGUACC
rnacentral:rRNA from 1 species